UAGCAGAGAUCCUAGUGCAUCAGGACCUGUGAGACAGUGCUGCAUGGCUGUCGUCAGCUCGUGUUGUGAAAUGUUGGGUUAAGUCCCGCAACGAGCGCAACCCUUAUCCUUUGUUGCCAGCGGUUCGGCCGGGAACUCAAAGGAGACUGCCAGUGAUAAACUGGAGGAAGGUGGGGAUGACGUCAAGUCAUCAUGGCCCUUCCGCCCAGGGUUACACCCGUGCUACAAUGGCAAAUACAAAGAGAAGCGACCUCGCGAGAGCAAGCGGACCUCAUAAAGUAUGUCGUAGUCCGGAUUGGAGUCUGCAACUCGACUCCAUGAAGUCGGAAUCGCUAGUAAUCGUAGAUCAGAAUGCUACGGGAAUAC
rnacentral:rRNA from 1 species